rnacentral:tRNA from 1 species
CCUCCGGUAGUAUAACGGUUAUUACAGGCGGCUGUAGACCGCUUGAAGGGUGUUCGACUCACUCCCGGGGGA